AGUGCUAGUCUUUAGCUGGUUGAGUCCGGGUCAGAUUGUGAAAUUUUGAAUAUCAUUUGGUCCCCUUCAACCAGCUGUAGUUGGCAUUAUUG
rfam:Asian citrus Psyllid, Diaphorina citri - Florida Strain, whole genome shotgun sequence.